rnacentral:rRNA from 1 species
GUGUGUGAAGAAGGCCUUCGGGUUGUAAAGCACUUUUGUCCGGAAAGAAAUCCUUGGUCCUAAUAUGGCCGGGGGAUGACGGUACCGGAAGAAUAAGCACCGGCUAACUACGUGCCAGCAGCCGCGGUAAUACGUAGGGUGCAAGCGUUAAUCGGAAUUACUGGGCGUAAAGCGUGCGCAGGCGGUUUGCUAAGACCGAUGUGAAAUCCCCGGGCUCAACCUGGGAACUGCAUUGGUGACUGGCAGGCUAGAGUAUGGCAGAGGGGGGUAGAAUUCCACGUGUAGCAGUGAAAUGCGUAGAGAUGUGGAGGAAUACCGAUGGCGAAGGCAGCCCCCUGGGCCAAUACUGACGCUCAUGCACGAAAGCGUGGGGAGCAAACAGGAUUAGAUACCCUGGUAGUCCACGCCCUAAACGAUGUCAACUAGUUGUUGGGGAUUCAUUUCCUUAGUAACGUAGCUAACGCGUGAAGUUGACCGCCUGGGGAGUACGGUCGCAAGAUUAAAACUCAAAGGAAUU